AAGAACACGUGUUGAGUCUGCCGGCCUUCACUUUUCCCCUGUGCUGGAUGCCUUCUGCCCUUGAAUAUCAGACUCCAAGUUCUUCAGCUUUUGGACUCUUGGACUUACACCAGUGUUUUGCCAGGGGCUCUUAGAUCUUCGGCCACAGACUGAAGGCUGCACUGUCAGCUUCCCUACUUUUGAGGUUUUUGGACUCAGACUGGCUUCCUUGCUGCUCAGCUUGCAGACGGCCUAUUGUGGGACUUCACCUUGUGAUCAUGAAGUAGAAGUGAUUAUCCACAUUCCAUAGAAGAAGAAGCGGAGCUCAGAAUGGAGCCUGUGCUAGAGGUGAAGAUAAAAAUGAAUAGGUGAAUGUCCUGCUGCCUUUGAGGUAUCCUCUGCCCACUGGAGGAAGAAGCAUUAAAGACAACAUUUAUGGUAAGGGCUGGAGGCAGAGCCAGAGCUUCAAGAAGGAAUUGGCUAACACAAAAGCAAGAACAUGGAUUCUUCUGAGAAGUAAAGAAAGAUGUUUCCCAAAAGCAAGCACUUUGUAGGUGGCGAUGUGUUGAUGUGCUGGGUCUGAUAAAAAGUGAUCCCAACAGAAAGUUCCUCUCAUCUCCAGCCUAGGAAAUCUUUAGGCCUUCACUCAGAUCUUCACUCAGGCCUUCCCGGACCACCCUCUCAAAAAUUUUCAACCGCUUUCUCCUGCACACUUGAACUCUCCCUUUCUGCUUGUUCUCCUUGGCACUCACAUUCUAUCUCACUGAAUUAUCUGAUUUCUUGUUAUCUUCCACCCAAGGAUGUAAGCCUCAU
ensembl:lncRNA LINC00967 long intergenic non-protein coding RNA 967